GUGCUCGCUUUGGCAGCACAUAUACUAAAAUUGGAAGGAUACAGAGAAGAUUAGCACGGCCCCUGUGAAAGGAUGACACACAAAUUCGUGAAGCAUUCCAUAUUAAA
rnacentral:snRNA from 1 species